UUCUGGCAUCGAUGAAGAACGCAGCGAAAUGCGAUAAGUAAUGUGAAUUGCAGAAUUCAGUGAAUCAUCGAAUCUUUGAACGCACAUUGCGCCCCUUGGUAUUCCGGGGGGCAUGCCUGUUCGAGCGUCAUUACAACCCUCAAGCUCUGCUUGGAAUUGGGCACCGUCCUCACUGCGGACGCGCCUCAAAGACCUCGGCGGUGGCUGUUCAGCCCUCAAGCGUAGUAGAAUACACCUCGCUUUGGAGCGGUUGGCGUCGCCCGCCGGACGAACCUUCUGAACUUUUGGGGGGGGUUGACCCCGGAACAGGUAGGGAUACCCGCUGAACUUAAGCAUAUCAAUAAGCGGAGGAAAAGAAACCAACAGGGAUUGCCUUAGUAACGGCGAGUGAAGCGGCAACAGCUCAAAUUUGAAAGCUGGC
rnacentral:rRNA from 1 species